GCGUUUUGUCCUUUGGACCGGCCGGGUAGUCUGGGGAGGCUGGCCAAAGUAGGGGUGCGGUGCUUGAAGUAGGGGUGGGGGUGGUUCGUUGGCCUCGGUGGUGGCGCGGGCGUACGGGCGGCCGGCGGCCGGCGGCCUCUUUGGCGGAGGAGAGUGCCCGCGAGUACCCGUGGCCUCGGCGGCGGAACGGGCGCGUCAGCGGUCGGUGCCCCGCGAGGUUAGGGUGGUCGCGCCAGCAGCUGGUGCCGGGGUCAGCGGCCUAGGACGACGACGUCAGCCCCGGGGGAGGUGGCCAAGGAAGGCGACGUCGACUGGAGAGGAAGCACGAAGAAGGGGGGUGACGGCGUCGGUUGUGGUGCAGGUUGGCGGCGGCGCUGUAACUGCCCUCCAGCCUCUAUAGAUGACGUCACCACCUCUGCCCCCCACCCCCUCCCUCCUCGUGCCAGGUGCCGCCUCCAGGCAGUGCCACUGUCCCUUCUUCCGACCGCCGUCCUAGGCAGUGCCGCCUCCAGGUAGUACGCAGCGAGACAAAAAAGAAUCGCCGUCGCUCCGAGAGGGACGGUGGUGCGUCGGAGGAGGGUCACCCCGGGUUGGCGGCGUCGUCAGUUGUGCAAGUGGGGACGGUGGAGGCCGGCAAGUUGAUGUGUCGGGGUCCUCAAGCGGCGGAGUCGGUGGGCCAAGGGUGAUGACGUCGCGGGCCUGCUCCGGGUACAGGAAGAAGGUCCGAGUAUGAAAACUAAAGUCUGACAGGUAGCAAUACGUGGGUUAAAUAAGUCUCUCUACCAGUCACUACGAACGGUACGAUACGAUGAUAUCCAAUCCGUUCCGUUUGACACUACUUUGUGUGAGUGUAGUGUGGAUUAACCGUGGAGCCACUAGAGUCCCAGGUUCAAGCCGUUCAUAAAGUCAGGUCCUUCUAAACCAUAUGUAUUUAAAACGUGCCCAAUCAACACCUACCUAGUAAACAGAUAGUCUAAACCUUAACUAUGAAACGAGUACAUAUAUACACUUACUUGGAAGAGACAUAGUGAAUUAGAUCACGUUCGUCGUGGUAAAUUUUCAUCCAACGCCGGAAAGGGGGUAGAGUUGAAAAAAAUGAACGUUGAUACCUUAAACCAGCACCGAUCGUCGUUCUUUUUCUUCUCUGUCCAAACGACCUCGGACGUUACGCUGCUCGUCUUGUUACGUACUCUGUCCAAUCGACCUCGGACGUCCGACGUCCGUACCAGUGGCUCGACGAUUAUGAAACCCCACCGAGCAUUACAUGAACCGGCUUACCAUGAUGA
rnacentral:rRNA from 1 species